GCUGGGCAUGGUGGCACAUGCCUGUAAUCCCAGCGGCUUGGAGGCUGAGACAGGAGGAUUGAGAGUUCAAAGCCAGUUUCAGCAACAGCAAGGCACUCAACAACUCAGUGAGACCCUGUCUCUA
rnacentral:sRNA from 1 species